rnacentral:rRNA from 1 species
CACGUAGGGUGCGAGCGUUGUCCGGAAUUAUUGGGCGUAAAGAGCUCGUAGGCGGUCUGUCGCGUCGGCUGUGAAACCCGGGGCUCAACCCCGGGCCUGCAGUCGAUACGGGCAGACUAGAGUGCGGUAGGGGAGACUGGAAUUCCUGGUGUAGCGGUGAAAUGCGCAGAUAUCAGGAGGAACACCGGUGGCGAAGGCGGGUCUCUGGGCCGUAACUGACGCUGAGGAGCGAAAGCGUGGGGAGCGAACAGG